rnacentral:rRNA from 1 species
UACGGAGGGUGCAAGCGUUGCUCGGAAUCACUGGGCGUAAAGCGCCCGCAGGCGGCCUGACAAGUCGGAUGUGAAAGCCCUGGGCUCAACUCAGGAAUUGCAUUCGAAACUGGCAGGCUCGAGUACGGGAGAGGGGGGUGGAAUUCCUGGUGUAGGGGUGAAAUUCGUUGAUAUCAGGAGGAACACCGGCGGCGAAGGCGGCCCCCUGGCCCGCAACUGACGCUCAUGGUCGAAAGCGUGGGGAGCAAACAGG